rnacentral:rRNA from 1 species
GAUGAACGCUGGCGGCGUGCCUAAUACAUGCAAGUCGAGCGAACAGACGAGGAGCUUGCUCCUCUGACGUUAGCGGCGGACGGGUGAGUAACACGUGGAUAACCUACCUAUAAGACUGGGAUAACUUCGGGAAACCGGAGCUAAUACCGGCUCAUAUAUUGAACCGCAUGGUUCAAUAGUGAAAGACGGUUUUGCUGUCACUUAUAGAUGGAUCCGCGCCGCAUUAGCUAGUUGGUAAGGUAACGGCUUACCAAGGCAACGAUGCGUAGCCGACCUGAGAGGGUGAUCGGCCACACUGGAACUGAGACACGGUCCAGACUCCUAAGGGAGGCAGCAGUAGGGAAGCUUCCGCAAUGGGCGAAAGCCUGAAGGAGCAACGCCGCGUGAGUGAUGAAGGUCUUCGGAUCGUAAAACUCUGUUAUUAGGGAAGAACAAAUGUGUAAGUAACUAUGCACGUCUUGACGGUACCUAAUCAGAAAGCCACGGCUAACUACGUG